UCUAAUGUGGCAGAAUAGUGCAAUGGAUUUAAACCCCAUAUAUAAAGUCCCCUCUUUCUUUAGAA
rnacentral:tRNA from 1 species